UAGCCGCCGCGGUAAUACCGGCGGCCCGAGUGGCGGCCACUAUUAUUGGGCUUAAAGCGUCCGUAGCCGGGUUGGUUAGUCUCCCGGGAAAUCUGGCCGCUUAACGGUCAGAAUUCCGGGAGAUACUGCCAGCCUAGGGACCGGGAGAGGCCGAGGGUAUUCCCGGAGUAGGGGUGAAAUCCUAUAAUCCCGGGAGGACCACCUGUGGCGAAGGCGCCCGGCUGGAACGGGUCCGACGGUGAGGGACGAAGGCCAGGGGAGCAAACCGGAUUAGAUACCCGGGUAGUCCUGGCUGUAAACGAUGCGGGCUAGGUGUCGGGUGAGCUUCGGGCUCGCCCGGUGCCGUAGGGAAGCCGUUAAGCCCGCCGCCUGGGGAGUACGGCCGCAAGGCUGAAACUUAAAGGAAUUGGCGGG
rnacentral:rRNA from 1 species